CGUGGUGCCUCAUGUGCUCUCCAGGGCACCUCCUGCCUGGGUGGCAGCCUGGCUUUGGGAAUGUGCUCACUGAAGGUCGUGAUGAACCACAGAAAACAGACUGGAUAUCAUACAGGGGAGUGGGAAAGCGCUCAAGGAAUGGAAGAAUAAUAAUAUUUUUAGAAAGGAGAAAACAUUUGAUGAAAUCUGAAUGCCAUAGAAUCGGAAACCCAGCUUGACUGCAAACAAAAUUAAGUGGAUGAAGCCAGGAGGUGAAAAGCUGUGUUUCCCCAUCAUAACUCUCAUUCAAAAAUCCUGACAGAAAGAAUCAUUGGAAGCAACAGUUUUUUAGAGCUGAAGCUGGCUUCUGAGAGCUGCUCUGGUAUUUUGUAAAUGUAAGAAGCGUAUGUUUUCAUUCGGGAUUUUUAAAAUAUAAAAGCUUCUGAUAGACUCAUACAACAUUGCAUGAGUGAUAUAUUGACACUAAAACUGCUGAAAAAUAAAACUAAACUCAAAAUAUUGGACCA
rnacentral:lncRNA from 1 species